ACGAACUCUGUAGACGAGCAUCUCGAAAAGCCUUUGCCUCAGACAAAGAAUAGAUUACCUUGGUCCUGGAAAUUUCAAAUGAUGAGGCUGGGAGUGGGGGGAUGAAAGCAGUGUUCUAGGGAGGCAGGACAGUUCAGCCUCUGCCUGCUUUAGCCCAAGCAGACUUGGAAAGCCUUCCUCAUCUGCGGAUGGUACCUGGGCUUUCCCAGGCAUGACCAAGGGUGGCCAUGUUCUUCAGAGCUAAAGCCAGGCAGAGGUUCUGCCCCUACUUUCCAAAUCCACUGAAAGGCUGGAAAGCUCUAGAUCUAGUCUUCCCUCACCUCAUGUGCAGCACCGAUCUCUACCCACCUCCCUCUUGAGUCUGUACUUGUGAUAACCUUCGUGUCACCUUCUCGUGGCAUGGUGAGCCAGCCCCGGCUGUCACAUUCUGUCACUCACCGGUAAGGAGUUCACAUCUGCUUUCUGAGUGUCUGUGCCUCUCCAGGGAAGAUGUGCUUGAUGUGUUUGUACUGGGUUCUUUCUGGAAACUAAUUUGAUUCUGGUUCUGCUGCUAAUUUUUUGCCCUCAAGGGAACUGAGAAAUUAAGAGAAGGGAAAGAAUAAGAAAGAGUAGGAGUGAUGAGACUUCAGCCCUUAAAGGAAGAAAAAUCCCUUUCAUUUGACAAGAGGUGACUGCAUCACUUAU
rnacentral:lncRNA from 1 species